rnacentral:rRNA from 1 species
CGGAUUGUAGGCUGCAACUCGCCUACAUGAAGUCGGAAUCGCUAGUAAUCGCGGAUCAGCAUGCCGCGGUGAAUACGCUCCCGGGCCUUGUACACACCGCCCGUCACACCACGAGAGUUUGUAACACCCAAAGCCGGUGGGGUAACCUUUUGGAGCCAGCCGUCUAAGGUGGGACAGAUGGAUUGGGGUGAAGUCGUAACAAGGUAGC